rnacentral:rRNA from 1 species
GGCCAGCAGCCGCGGUAAUACGUAGGGGGCGAGCGUUGUCCGGAUUUAUUGGGCGUAAAGCGCGUGUAGGUGGCGCAUUAAGUCCGAUGUGAAAACUCCCGGCUCAACUGGGAGACUGCAUUGGAAACUGGUGUGCUAGAGUGCAGGAGAGGGAAGUGGAAUUCCAAGUGUAGCGGUGAAAUGCGCAGAUAUUUGGAAGAACACCAGUGGCGAAGGCGGCUUCCUGGACUGCAACUGACGCUGAGACGCGAAAGCUAGGGGAGCGAACAGGAUUAGAUACCCUGGUAGUCCUAGCCGUAAACGAUGGGCACUAGGUGUAGCGGGUUAUCGACUCCCGCUGUGCCGUAGCUAACGCAUUAAGUGCCCCGCCUGGGGAGUACGACCGCAAGGUUAAAACUCAAAGGAAUUGACGGGGGCCCGCACA